GACGAACGCUGGCGGCGUGCUUAACACAUGCAAGUCGAACGGAAAGGCCCUGCUUUUGUGGGGUGCUCGAGUGGCGAACGGGUGAGUAACACGUGAGUAACCUGCCCUUGACUUUGGGAUAACUUCAGGAAACUGGGGCUAAUACCGGAUAGGAGCUCCUGCUGCAUGGUGGGGGUUGGAAAGUUUCGGCGGUUGGGGAUAGACUCGCUGCUUAUCAGCUUGUUUGUGUGGUAGUGGUUUACCAAGGGUUUGACUGGUAGCCGGCCUGGGAGGGUGACCUGCCACCUUGGGACUGCGAUACGGCCCAGACUCCUACCUUAGGCAGUAGUAGUGAACAUUGCAGAAUGGGCUGACGCCUGAUGCAGUGACGUUGCGUUCGGGAUGAUGGGCUUCGGGUUGUAAACCGCUUUCGCAUGUGACGAAGAGGGAGUGACGGUAACGGGUAAAGAAGCACCGGCUAACUACGUG
rnacentral:rRNA from 1 species